rnacentral:rRNA from 1 species
GACGAACGCUGGCGGCGUGCUUAACACAUGCAAGUCGAACGAUGAAGCCGGAGCUUGCUCUGGUGAAUUAGUGGCGAACGGGUGAGUAACACGUGAGUAACCUGCCCAUAAGACUGGGAUAACUCCGGGAAACCGGGGCUAAUACCGGAUAACAUUUUGAACCGCAUGGUUCGAAAUUGAAAGGCGGCUUCGGCUGUCACUUAUGGAUGGACCCGCGUCGCAUUAGCUAGUUGGUGAGGUAACGGCUCACCAAGGCAACGAUGCGUAGCCGACCUGAGAGGGUGAUCGGCCACACUGGGACUGAGAGACGGCCCAGACUCCUGCGGGAGGCAGCAGUAGGGAAUCUUCCGCAAUGGACGAAAGUCUGACGGAGCAACGCCGCGUGAGUGAUGAAGGCUUUCGGGUCGUAAAACUCUGUUGUUAGGGAAGAACAAGUGCUAGUUGAAUAAGCUGGCACCUUGACGGUACCUAACCAGAAAGCCACGGCUAACUACGUGCCAGCCGCCGCCGUAA